GUGAACAGCGGAGGGAUCAUUACCGAGUUUACAACUCCCAAACCCCUGUGAACAUACCAAUUGUUGCCUCGGCGGAUCAGCCCGCUCCCGGUAAAACGGGACGGCCCGCCAGAGGACCCCUAAACUCUGUUUCUAUCUGUUUCUCUGAGUACAACAAGCAAAUAAAUUAAAACUUUCAACAACGGAUCUCUUGGCUCUGGCAUCGAUGAAGAACGCAGCAAAAUGCGAUAAGUAAUGUGAAUUGCAGAAUUCAGUGAAUCAUCGAAUCUUUGAACGCACAUUGCGCCCGCCAGUAUUCUGGCGGGCAUGCCUGUUCGAGCGUCAUUUCAACCCUCAGGCCCCCGGGCCUGGUGUUGGGGAUCGGCGGAGCCCUCCGGGGCACACGCCGUCCCCCAAAUUGAUUGGCGGUCACGUCGAGCUUCCAUAGCGUAGUAGCUAACACCUCGCAACUGGAAGGCGGCGCGGCCACGCCGUUAAACCCCCCAACUUCUGAAUGUUGACCUCGGAUCAGGUAGGAAUACCCGCUGAACUUAA
rnacentral:rRNA from 1 species